AGCGGGAAAAGCUCAAAUUUAAAAUCUGGCAGAUGUUUGUCUGUCCGAGUUGUAACCUAGAGAAGUGUAACCUGUGCUGGCCGUGUACAAGUCUCCUGGAAUGGAGCAUCAUAGAGGGUGAGAAUCCCGUCUUUGACAUGGACUACCAGUGCACUGUGGUUGCGCACUCAACGAGUCGAGUUGUUUGGGAAUGCAGCUCUAAAUGGGUGGUAAAUUCCAUCUAAAGCUAAAUAUUGGCGAGAGACCGAUAGCGAACAAGUACCGUGAGGGAAAGAUGAAAAGAACUUUGGAAAGAGAGUUAAACAGUAUGUGAAAUUGUUGAAAGGGAAACACUUGAAGUCAGCUGCAUUGGCUGGGGAUCAAGCCAGCUUAUUUGCUGGGUGUACUUCCUGGUUGAUGGGCCAACAUCAGUUUUGACCAUCAGAGAAAGGCUAAGGGAAUGUGGCACCUUUAUAGGUGUGUUAUAGCCCUUGGUUGUAUGUGGUGGAUGGGACUGAGGA
rnacentral:rRNA from 1 species